GGAGAGAUGGCCGAGUGGUUGAUAGCUCCGGUCUUGAAAACCGGUAUAGUUCUUUGCGAACUAUCGAGGGUUCGAAUCCCUCUCUCUCCUCU
rnacentral:tRNA from 1 species